rnacentral:misc_RNA from 1 species
GUAUUAUAUUGCGUUAAACGCGGCAUACAUUCCAUGAGACUUGUGUGUGUGUGUAAAGAUAUAGAACCACAGCAAAGGAGAACAGAGUCCCCCAGGCCAUAGAACUACAGAGGGUGCACAGGUGUGAGUGGAUGUGCAAACAGAGCGUGCACAUGCCCCUGUUUGAGGGCCAGCAACAACUCAUGUUGGCAAUUCGGUAAUGAUCCUUCCGCAGGUUCACCUACGGAAA